rnacentral:rRNA from 1 species
UACGUAGGGUGCAAGCGUUAAUCGGAAUUACUGGGCGUAAAGCGUGCGCAGGCGGUAAUGUAAGACAGAGGUGAAAUCCCCGGGCUCAACCUGGGAACUGCAUUUGUGACUGUAUAGCUAGAGUACGGUAGAGGGGGAUGGAAUUCCGCGUGUAGCAGUGAAAUGCGUAGAUAUGCGGAGGAACACCGAUGGCGAAGGCAAUCCCCUGGACCUGUACUGACGCUCAUGCACGAAAGCGUGGGGAGCAAACAGG